ACUCCUUCGGGAGGCAGCAGUGGGGAAUUUUGGACAAUGGGCGAAAGCCUGAUCCAGCAAUGCCGCGUGAGUGAAGAAGGCCUUCGGGUUGUAAAGCUAUUUUGUCAGGGAAGAAACGGUGAAAGCUAAUAUCUUUUGCUAAUGACGGUACCUGAAGAAUAAGCACCGGCUAACUACGUGCCAGCAGCCGCGGUAAUACGUAGGGUGCAAGCGUUAAUCGGAAUUACUGGGCGUAAAGCGUGCGCAGGCGGUUUUGUAAGUCUGAUGUGAAAUCCCCGGGCUCAACCUGGGAAUUGCAUUGGAGACUGCAAGGCUAGAAUCUGGCAGAGGGGGGUAGAAUUCCACGUGUAGCAGUGAAAUGCGUAGAUAUGUGGAGGAACACCGAUGGCGAAGGCAGCCCCCUGGGUCAAGAUUGACGCUCAUGCACGAAAGCGUGGGGAGCAAACAGGAUUAGAUACCCUGGUAGUCCCAUG
rnacentral:rRNA from 1 species